rnacentral:rRNA from 1 species
GAUGAACGCUGGCGGCGUGCCUAAUACAUGCAAGUCGAGCGAAUGGAUCAAGAGCUUGCUCUUAUGAAGUUAGCGGCGGACGGGUGAGUAACACGUGGGUAACCUGCCCAUAAGACUGGGAUAACUCCGGGAAACCGGGGCUAAUACCGGAUAACACUUUGAACCGCAUGGUUCGAAAUUGAAAGGCGGCUUCGGCUGUCACUUAUGGAUGGACCCGCGUCGCAUUAGCUAGUUGGUGAGGUAACGGCUCACCAAGGCAACGAUGCGUAGCCGACCUGAGAGGGUGAUCGGCCACACUGGGACUGAGACACGGCCCAGACUCCUACGGGAGGCAGCAGUAGGGAAUCUUCCGCAAUGGACGAAAGUCUGACGGAGCAACGCCGCGUGAGUGAUGAAGGCUUUCGGGUCGUAAAACUCUGUUGUUAGGGAAGAACAAGUGCUAGUUGAAUAAGCUGGCACCUUGACGGUACCUAACCAGAAAGCCACGGCUAACUACGUGCCAGCAGCCGCCGCGG